GCAUUGGUGGUUCAGUGGUAGAAUUUCGCCUGCCAUCGCUGAGGCCCGGUUCAUUCCCCGCCAAUGCA
rnacentral:tRNA from 1 species